GACGAACGCUGGCGGCGUGCCUAAUACAUGCAAGUAGAACGCUGAAGAGAGGAGCUUGCUCUUCUUGGAUGAGUUGCGAACGGGUGAGUAACGCGUAGGUAACCUGCCUUGUAGCGGGGGAUAACUAUUGGAAACGAUAGCUAAUACCGCAUAACAAUGGAUGACACAUGUCAUUUAUUUGAAAGGGGCAAUUGCUCCACUACAAGAUGGACCAGCGUUGUAUUAGCUAGUAGGUGAGGUAAUGGCUCACCUAGGCGACGAUACAUAGCCGACCUGAGAGGGUGAUCGGCCACACUGGGACUGAGACACGGCCCAGACUCCUACGGGAGGCAGCAGUAGGGAAUCUUCGGCAAUGGGGGCAACCCUGACCGAGCAACGCCGCGUGAGUGAAGAAGGUUUUCGGAUCGUAAAGCUCUGUUGUAAGUCAAGAACGGGUGUGAGAGUGGAAAGUUCACACUGUGACGGUAGCUUACCAGAAAGGGACGGCUAACUACGUG
rnacentral:rRNA from 1 species